GCCUGGGUGGCUCAGUCAGUUGAGCAUCUGACUUCGGCUCAGGUCAUGAUCUCACGGUCUGUGGGUUCGAGCCCUGCGUCGGGCU
rnacentral:tRNA from 1 species